rnacentral:miRNA from 1 species
GCAGACACAUCCCAGCCAAUCAGCAGCAGACCCUCCCUCCCAGACCCUCCCAUCUCCUGGACAGCUCACUAAGAAUGCAGCUUCACAAUGAAUGUAAAAUGGAUGCUGUCCAGGAGGUGGGAGGGUCUGGGAGGGAGGGUCUGCUUCUGAUUGGCUGGAAUGUGUCU